rnacentral:ncRNA from 1 species
UUAGCUGCUUAGCAGCGACAAGCACAGUCGUCCUGACUGGGAACGGUCAGAGAUCAUAAUUGGGUGAAUUGCUGGAAACCCCUAAGAGCUUUUCUUGCCACAACGUAGUUGGAAACGACAAGCGUGAUGGUUAGAUAAAAGAAAAGAUUGGGCAAUCAGCAGCCAAGCUCCUGUGAGGAAACUCUGGAGAAGGUUCAACGACUAGGAUAGACCAUCUAAGGCGAAAGCUAUGGUGAUGAAAUCCGUAGGUGAAACAAUGGUCAUCAGCAUUGUGAAUCCGAAGUGCCCAACCCCUACUGGAAUGCCAGAGGGUGAAGAUAUAGUCUGGUCAUUUAUGAAAGUAAAUG